UAUGUGAAUACAUAGCAUAUCAGAAGGCACACCCGGAGAACUGAAACAUCUUAGUACCCGGAGGAAGAGAAAGAAAAUUCGAUUCCCUUAGUAGCGGCGAGCGAAACGGGAAGAGCCCAAACCAACAAGCUUGCUUGUUGGGGUUGUAGGACACUCUAUACGGAGUUACAAAGGACGACAUUAGACGAAUCAUCUGGAAAGAUGAAUCAAAGAAGGUAAUAAUCCUGUAGUCGAAAAUGUUGUCUCUCUUGAGUGGAUCCUGAGUACGACGGAGCACGUGAAAUUCCGUCGGAAUCUGGGAGGACCAUCUCCUAAGGCUAAAUACUCUCUAGUGACCGAUAGUGAACCAGUACCGUGAGGGAAAGGUGAAAAGCACCCCGGAAGGGGAGUGAAAUAGAACCUGAAACCGUGUGCUUACAAGUAGUCAGAGCCCGUUAAUGGGUGAUGGCGUGCCUUUUGUAGAAUGAACCGGCGAGUUACGAUUUGAUGCAAGGUUAAGCAGUAAAUGUGGAGCCGUAGCGAAAGCGAGUCUGAAUAGGGCGUUUAGUAUUUGGUCGUAGACCCGAAACCAGGUGAUCUACCCUUGGUCAGGUUGAAGUUCAGGUAACACUGAAUGGAGGACCGAACCGACUUACGUUGAAAAGUGAGCGGAUGAACUGAGGGUAGCGGAGAAAUUCCAAUCGAACCUGGAGAUAGCUGGUUCUCUCCGAAAUAGCUUUAGGGCUAGCCUCAAG
rnacentral:rRNA from 1 species